CCUUUAUUUUGUGUUUCAUUAUAUCAAGAGAAAAUCUGUUGGGCUUGAUUAAUUGUUUGAUAUUUUUUGAAAGAUGUAUAACGAGGUAGAAGAUAAAAGGGGGUGGGGGGGAAUAAAAAAAAAAGAAAUUACAGAAAAAAAAACCAGCAUUACUAUGUAUUCAUGUAUUUUCGUGGGUCCCAAUUUUCAUGGAUUAAAGAAACCUUACACAUUCGUGGACAUUUAGUUUCAUGGUUUUGCCAAAUGCUGCAUAGUGCAUUCAAUCGAAAUUGAACAUUUAAUAUUGUGGUUCUCGUGGUUCAACAAAAUCCACAAAAAUUUGUAUCCAACAAAUAAUUAAUCCACUGUAUAAAUAUAAAAGAAAAAGGUUGAUUUAAAGUCCACAAAUGACUAUGCAGAAAACAACAGAUUUAGCAACACGAUCCCAACAAUAAAGUAGGGGGGAAUAAUCCAGAUUUUAAGUGUAUCAGCAAUUAACUGGUACAGAAACAUGAUAAAGUUAUGUAAUAAACUGAAUUAAUUCACCAUAUGCACAUUUUUUAUUUCUCAUUAUAUAGCUGUUUUCACAGCUACAUUGUGCACACUCAGGAACUAUAAACAUAUUUAUUGUAAGCGUGACAUCUGGUAAGAAAUGGUGACAUAAGUCUUAAUUUUGGGUUUAAAUGUUUUUUAAAGCCAAAAAAACCUGAGUGUUUCCAUGGACCUUAAUUUUUAUGACUAAAUUUCUUUUCUUUUCUUUUUUAUCAAGCCCAUAGUCACUUGACCAUGUGGUACGUACAAUUAAUUAAAAAAAAAAAACAAAAAAAACUUGAUCUAUUUUGUGCAUUUUGUUUCUUCAAGAAGUUAGCUGAAACACAGGUAUUACUUUUGUUGGUCUUAAUUUAUUCUAUGAUAAAGAUGUUUUUAUUUUGUAUAAUAAUCAAGAGUUAUAUCAGUAAUAUGUAAAUGUAUUAUAAUAUAAACAACAUAUAUACUAUGGUAUGUACAACAAAUAUAUGUAAAAAGAAAAACUGGCAGUUCACUGAACUUAAAAAUCGGUAUACGUAACUACCAUAAAAUAACAUGACGAGUGUGGAAGUCCUUGAAACUAGAAAUUAGUAAUUUUUGAUACCCGCAGGGAUAUUUUUACUAGAAAAGCAUGCAUGUUAAUUUUUACGUCAGCAAGAAAAAGAGAUGUACACCUAGGCCUUGAAUUUACAACGUUUUCAUAAUUAGUUUACCUAUUACUUAUGUUAACAUGUAAUGUAUAAAUCGUAUUGACGUCAACAUGUCAUUGUCAUGCUGUGGUGAUUAUGUGACUUUUGGACUUUUUAUAAAUUUUUUAUGAAGAUGGUUUAUGAUGGAUCAUAAGGUCUUAUUUAAUUUGUUAGUUUUGUGUUAAGAGAAAAAAGCUAAUUGUAAGGGUUAGUAGAACAACUUAAAACAAUUGUAAACACAAACUAAAUAUUCUAAGUAUGACGACUAAACUAGUGCACAUUUUGUUUAGGGGCCAGCUGAAGCAUGCCUUGGGGUGCGGGAUUUUCUCACUGUGUGUGUAUUGAAUAGAUAUAGGAAGAUGUGGUAUGAGUGUCAAUGAGACAACUCUCCAUCCAAGUAACAAUUUAUAAAAGUAAACCAUUAGAGGUCAAAGUACAGCCUUCAACAUGAAGCCUUGGCUCACAACGAACAGCAAGACCCAUUGGACUGGCCUUCAGCUGAGUGUUUUCUGCUCUUUGAUCAGGUUGUUGUCUCUUUGACAUUUUCCCCAUAUCCAUUCAAUAUUUUAUUGUAAACAAAUUAUAUUUGGAAGACAAGUACAUCAUUUUUUUUCUUAAUGAAAGACAUUUUUUGAAAAAUUAAUAACCUCUGCCCCAGUAUUUAUAACCGC
rnacentral:lncRNA from 1 species